GACAUCCAGAGAACUUAGCAGAGAUGCUUUGGUGCCUUCGGGGAACUCUGAGACAGGUGCUGCAUGGCUGUCGUCAGCUCGUGUUGUGAAAUGUUGGGUUAAGUCCCGNAACGAGCGCAACCCUUAUCCUUUGUUGCCAGCGGUUCGGCCGGGAACUCAAAGGAGACUGCCGGUGAUAAACCGGAGGAAGGUGGGGAUGACGUCAAGUCAUCAUGGCCCUUACGGCCAGGGCUACACACGUGCUACAAUGGCGCAUACAAAGAGAAGCGACCUCGCGAGAGCAAGCGGACCUCAUAAAGUGCGUCGUAGUCCGGAUUGGAGUCUGCAACUCGACUCCAUGAAGUCGGAAUCGCUAGUAAUCGUAGAUCAGAAUGCUACGGUGAAUACGUUCCCGGGCCUUGUACACACCGCCCGUCACACCAUGGGAGUGGGUUGCAAAAGAAGUAGGUAGCUUAACCUUCGGGAGGGCGCUUACCACUUUGUGAUUCAUGACUGGGGUGAAGUCGUAACAAGGUAGGCGUAGCGAG
rnacentral:rRNA from 1 species